UGGCCGUGGGAACUUAGCGGCAAAUCCGGGCGGCCGCGUGAGGGCGACGCUUAUUAAAACAUGUUGGAAACAAAUGUUGGGAGUGAUGGAGCAGCAAAGAGAAAGGCGAAAAACUAAAAGGAUGUACGAAAAAGUGAAACUCGGAAAAAACACGCCGGCUAUCUCGACUUUUCUCGUAAGCGGGAUACCUAGCAUUAGCAAAGAGUCAUUAGCAUUAGCAAAGAGUUGUCUAGGAUUAGCAUUAGCAAAGAGGACGACGCCAACGUCGAAGAGGAGGAAGAGUAACGUUAGCCGAGCUACAUCUGUUCAUCUGCCCCACCUCACAUCUCCACUUCAGCCCAGCACCGAUGUCAGUGGCAGAUUUUGUCAGUGACGACUGGUCAGAUCAUCAGGAAGUGACCUCGAAUCCAUGGACGGCCGAGAGGUGGACGUUGCAGGGAAUAAAAGCAUAAAAUUGGACGUCAGCUCGCACAUCUGGACCCAGUCUUUGUCUCAGAAAUACCCAGAAGACCUGCAGUGUGUUUUAGCCAGUCACAAGGAAAUAGAGGAGAGGCCAAGUGGAUUGAGACAGGCAUCAUUUAUGGAAGGUAAACCCCCACUCCCACCCCCAACAUCAAGGCCUUUAACUCUCUUCUGAUGGAUAAGAUGUGAUCAUCCGGAGGGCGAGGGCCGUCCGGUGAACAGGCUGUGGAAAGAGCAGUGACAGUAGGGUAAGACAGGAUCAGCACAGAGGAUGUUAUCAUUAAAGAGCAUCAGGGGAAGGGUUUUAGCGUCGCGCAGAGUGACUGUCUGUGGCACUCUUCAAGUGAAAAAGGCAGCAGCUCGGAGCUAAGAGGAUAGGCCUACAUCUGAUGUCUGGGUUUAUGAUUA